UUGCCAACUAGUAUGAUUUCACAUUUUCGAAGGUUGACUUUUAGGCCUGAUAACAAAAAUUGAGGAAGCUAGCCAAAGACCGAAAGAUGAUCUAAAUACUUCUGAGAUUAAGCAAGAUGGUUCACUUAAAUCUAUAAGACAGUGGACUACACAAAAUUGAGGAAGCAUGCCAAAAUCUGCAGGAUCAUCUAAGUGCUUCUGAGAUCAAGCAAGAAGGUUCUCACUAUCAAUAGAAGAGGAAGUUGCGGAUGUAUAUGCAAAAAGAAAAAAAAACCUUGGUGAAUAUAUCACUACUUGCGUGUACUGAUAGAAUAGUUAUGUGAAUAUAAGUAAUUAGUUCUAGUCAUAUGUAAUAGGAGUAGGUUAUGUGUUAUGUAUACAUAUAAAUAGGGUUCAUUGUAACAUAGAAUAUUAAUA